rnacentral:rRNA from 1 species
GAGUUAACGCUGGCGGCGUGCCUAACACAUGCAAGUCGGGCGGGGAGUGGCAGAGUACCGCGCUCCCAGCGGCAGACGGGUGAGUAACGCGUAGGCAACAUGCCCAUAAGAGGGAGACAACCAGCCGAAAGGUUGGCUAAUAUCCCGUAAUACCCUGGGGAGGCAUCUUUUCCGGGUAAAGCAGCGAUGCGCUUAUGGAGUGGCCUGCGGCCUAUCAGCUGGUUGGUGAGGUAACGGCCCACCAAGGCAUAGACGGGUAGCCGAUCUAAAAGGAUGACCGGCCACAAGGGGACUGAGACACGGCCCCUACUCCUACGGGAGGCAGCAGUGGGGAAUUUUGGACAAUGGGGGAAACCCUGAUCCAGCCGACGCCGCGUGAAGGAUGAAGGUUUUCGGAUUGUAAACUUCUUUUGCAGGGGGCAAAGGCCGGCAACGGCGUGAUGGUACCCUGUGAAUAAGCCACGGCUAACUACGUGCCAGCCGCAGC